GAUAUACUCCCUCCGUUCGGAAAUACUUGUUCUCAAAAUGGUUGUAUCUACAUUUAUUUUAGUUAUAGAUGCAUCUAUUUUAUUCAUUUUUGGGACAAGCAUUUCCGGAUAGAGGGAGUAUUUG
rfam:Triticum aestivum genome assembly, contig: Triticum_aestivum_CS42_TGACv1_scaffold_003615_1AL